AAUAUUGGACAAUGGGCGAAAGCCUGAUUCAGCCAUGCCGCGUGUGUGAAGAAACUCUUCGGUUAGUAAAGUACCUUCAGUUGGGAGGUGGGGCAGUUUUUUAAUACCUUUCUGUCUUUCCUUUACCGGCAGAAUAGGCACCCGCUAACUUCGUGCCCGUAGCCGCGGUAAUACGAAGGGUGGAAGCGUUAAUCGGAAUUACUGGGCGUAAAGCGCGCGUAGGUGGUUUGUUAAGUUGGAAAUAAAAGCCCCGGGAUCAACCUGGGAACUGCUUUCAAAACUGGAAAGCUAGAGUAUGGCAGAGGGUGGUGGAAUUACCUGUGUAGCGGUGAGAUGCGUAGAUAUAGGAAGGAACACCAGUGGCGAAGGCGACCACCUGGGCUAAUACUGAAACUGAGGUGCGAAAGCGUGGGGAGCAAACAG
rnacentral:rRNA from 1 species